GGGGGCAUAAGCUAACGGUAAACUGUCGGUCUCCAAAACCGACUUUGGUGGUUCAAAUCCAUCUGCCCCUG
rnacentral:tRNA from 1 species